GAUGCACUGAGAAAUGUCUACUUAGACAACAGUCAAUACAUGAUUCCAGGGACCUCUGUAGAAAACCCGAGUUUUGGGAGAUUUAGCUUUCAGUGUCAAUGUUAUUAAUGCUUAUUUUCCCCCUGAGCACAUCACUUCCUACUUUGAACCUCACUCCCAUUUUCUAGAAUGUAGAUGGGAACUUUAAUCUCCUUACAACACAGAGCUCAGUAUAGGCUUCUGGGAUUUAAUGACACUUUCCACAAGCUCCGUGGAGCAGAGGACAAUUUAUCUGGUACAUUGAGGAAAGAAUGAUGGAAGAAAAGGUCUGGAUAGAUACAUCCUUAUGAUCAAUUUUCCUGAUUCAGUGCCAGCCUUUUAGACUUUAAACCUCAUAAAUGAUUUCAGUAGACACCCCCUGAGUUGAGGAUGUCUGGUUGAUAUCCUCACUGUCUUCUCAGGAACGUGGCUAAACCAGGAGAGGAAGAACAGAAAAGCAACUGCUCUAUCAUUGGCUGACAAGAUCCUGACAACAACACAAUGAGAGCUGCACUCCUUGCAAGUCUUUACCAGUAGCUGUUGCUUCUGUUCUCUGGAAAUUCUUUAAACCUAGAAUCAGACACAAAAACUGAACUCUGGGUCCACAAUCCUCAUUUGUCCUUGAAGUAUGAGACUGGUGGCAAGAGUAACUGUGUUUCUGACCUUUGGGACUAUAAUUGAUGCUAAGACGACCCAACCCACCUCCAUGGAUUGUGCUGAAGGAAGAGCUGCAAACCUGCCUUGUAAUCACUCUACCAUCGGUGGAAAUGAGUACAUACAUUGGUAUCGACAGAUUCACUCCGAGGGGGCCACAGUAUGUCAUUCAUGGUCUAAAAAACAAUGAGACCAAUGCAAUGGCCUCUCUGAUCAUCACAGAAGACAGAAAGUCCAGCACCUUGAUCCUGCCCCACGCGACGCUGAGAGACACUGCUGUGUACUAUUGCAUCGUGAGAGUCGCACAUUGGGACACAUGGGGCUGCACCUGUGCAAUAUCUCCCUGGUGGCAAGUGAGGAGGAGGGUAGCAUUCAUCUAGAGCAAAAUGUCGAUAGGAGUCAAAAAGUAACAAGAAAAGAGGAAAAGGAAGGGAAGGAGAGAAGGAAAGUAAAUAAGGGAGAUAGGAUGAAGGGUAAAAAGAUAGGAAUAAGAACUAUAUUUGUUGAUGUGGCUGAGAAAUAUGAUAAAGGGGCUAUAAUUUGAACAUAGCAAUAAAGUGAAGAGGGUUAAGAAUUUUCAUGACUCCUCUUCAUGUCAAAAAAAUGUUCAUUUCAGUUUGUUAGUAAAAGUGAACGGAUAAGGAAAAUCAAGAUAAGUCUGCUCGUCCCAAGGCUUUUUUCCUCUGGAUCCAGGGGCAAGUUCAAGCUUCAAAAUGCAUGCUGUUAUAGUUGAUCCAAUUACCAGGAACAAGUUGAUUUUUCUGCAAGAAAAAUCUGAAAUGUUCCUUCUUACUAGUGCAGUAACACUAGUUACUAGAGCAUGCAUAUUUGUGA